rnacentral:rRNA from 1 species
AUUGAACGCUGGCGGCAUGCCUUACACAUGCAAGUCGAACGGCAGCACGGGAGCAAUCCUGGUGGCGAGUGGCGAACGGGUGAGUAAGUAUAUCGGAACGUGCCGGUCGUGGGGAUAACGUAGCGAAAGCUACGCUAAUACCGCAUACGAUCUACGGAUGAAAGCGGGGGAUCGCAAGACCUCGCGCGAUUGGAGCGGCCGAUAUCAGAUUAGGUAGUUGGUGAGGUAAAGGCUCACCAAGCCGACGAUCUGUAGCUGGUCUGAGAGGACGACCAGCCACACUGGGACUGAGACACGGCCCAGACUCCUACGGGAGGCAGCAGUGGGGAAUUUUGGGACCAAUGGGCGCAAGCCUGAUCCAGCAAUGCCGCGUGCAGGA